CGCUGGGCGCGUGAUUUUGAACAAACCCUGGUCUGUGUCUCGGAGGCGCCGCCGCCGCCGCCGCUGCUGGGAGCCCAGGGAGCGCCGCGCGACCAGGAGGCGGCGGCGCCGCCGGCUUUGUGCCUGAUCAACUUUCUAGCGGGAGAACGAUCAUGGAGGUGGUGCCAGCUGAGAACUGGAAGAAAUUGUCAACAUAAAUUCUACUGGUGACUCUACAGCCACGCCCAUUUCCACGGAACCAAUCACAGUGUACAGUAACCACACUAACCAAGUUGCAGUGAAUACCACAAUUACUAAAGCAGAUUCUAAUACCACAGUGAAACCAGCUUUUCCAAGUGGCCUUCAAAAACUUGGUGCUCAGACUCCUGUGACUAUAUCAGCCAAUCAGAUUAUUUUAAACAAAGUAUCACAGACAUCUGAUCUUAAACUUGGCAAUCAGACCCUUAAACCAGAUGGACAGAAGUUAAUUUUAACAACUUUGGGCAAGUCUGGUUCACCAAUUGUUUUAGCACUACCCCAUAGCCAACUACCCCAGGCUCAGAAAGUUACAACUCAGGCCCAGUCAGGAGAUGCUAAGUUACCACCGCAGCAAAUUAAAGUAGUUACCAUUGGAGGGAGGCCAGAGGUGAAACCUGUCAUUGGUGUCUCAGCAUUGACCCCAGGAAGUCAACUGAUUAAUACUACAACUCAGCCCUCUGUGUUACAGACCCAACAGUUAAAAACAGUACA
rnacentral:sRNA from 1 species